rnacentral:rRNA from 1 species
GAUGAGCGCUGGCGGCGUGCCUAAUACAUGCAAGUCGAGCGAACGGACGAGAAGCUUGCUUCUCUGAUAUUAGCGGCGGACGGGUGAGUAACACGUGGAUAACCUACCUAUAAGACUGGGAUAACUUCGGGAAACCGGAGCUAAUACCGGAUAAUAUUUUGAACCGCAUGGUUCAAAAGUGAAAGACGGUCUUGCUGUCACUUAUAGAUGGAUCAGCGCUGCAUUAGCUAGUUGGUAAGGUAACGGCUUACCAAGGCAACGAUGCAUAGCCGACCUGAGAGGGUGAUCGGCCACACUGGAACUGAGACACGGUCCAGACUCCUACGGGAGGCAGCAGUAGGGAAUCUUCCGCAAAGGGCGAAAGCCUGACGGAGCAACGCCGCGUGAGUGAUGAAGGUCUUCGGAUCGUAAAACUCUGUUAUUAGGGAAGAACAUAUGUGUAAGUAACUGUGCACAUCUUGACGGUACCUAAUCAGAAAGCCACGGCUAACUACGUG